GAGAGAGAGAGAGACUUCGCGCGUGUCGUUCACGCGCCGCUGCCGGAAAUCGUCGCCGCCGGUAGGCUCCGCCGUCGCCGCCGGUGACCAACACCGGUGGCUCGCCGGCGACUCGGUCAACUCGGCCGAGUCAACCCGGUGAGUCAACUCGGUUGACUCGGUAAACCGGUGGAUUGACUGGUUUGACCGGUUUAAAUUGAUUUCGGUUCGGUUAGGGUAAACCGGUCGGUUUAGUCAAAUCGAUUUUUGGUCAAAGAUUGACCGGGUUGACUUUGACCAGCAGGUUGACUUUUUCGCAAACCUUGACUAGUUCCGUUUUCGACCGUUCGAAAGGCGUUCUCUGACUCAGAAUUUCGAUCUGAUUUCAGAUAUGGAGUCUAUUUGAGCAGCUAGAGUUCAUAGACAACACUUUUCUAUUGCUAAGAUAUGGAGUCUAUUUGAGCAGCUAGAGUUCAUAGACAACACUUUUCUAUUGCUAAGGUGAGACAAACAAGUAUGUGAUAUUUGGACGGACUUGGUGCUACUGGACUUUUCUUUCGGAUUUUAUUUGGGCAUGGGUGAGAGUUUUCGGGUUUAUGGGCUUUUAUAUUACGGGAUAUUGUUGGUGACCCGUCGUCCUUAGUGUCAGGGAGACGGGUGUCACAUUGUUGUAUGAUGACGCAUCGGGGGUGACACGCUGUCCUCCAUAUAGGAGGUGACGGGUGUCACAAUAUUGUUUGUAAAUCUUAAGCAAUAAUUGGAUGGCCACGCAAAGAAUUACCCAUAAAGGUUUAUACUUUCUCAGAUUAAUUUAAUAAAUUAAAAUAUAGAAAUUGUUAAGAAAUAACUUAUAAUUUAUAGUAU